CAACUACUCCCUCUAUCCCAAAUUUCUUGUCUUAGAUUUGUCUAGAUACGGAUGUAUCUAAUACUAAAAUGUGACUUGAUACAUCCGUAUCUAUACAAAUCUAAGACAAGAAUUUUGGGAUGGAGGGAGUACUUU
rnacentral:pre_miRNA from 1 species